rnacentral:rRNA from 1 species
UACGGAGGGAGCUAGCGUUGUUCGGAAAUACUGGGCGUAAAGCGCACGUAGGCGGCGCCGCAAGUCAGGGGUGAAAUCCCGGGGCUCAACCCCGGAACUGCCCUUGAAACUGCAGUGCUAGAAUCUUGGAGAGGUCAGUGGAAUUCCGAGUGUAGAGGUGAAAUUCGUAGAUAUUCGGAAGAACACCAGUGGCGAAGGCGACUGACUGGACAAGUAUUGACGCUGAGGUGCGAAAGCGUGGGGAGCAAACAGG